rnacentral:rRNA from 1 species
GAUGAACGCUGACAGAAUGCUUAACACAUGCAAGUCAACUUGAAUUUGGGUUUUUAACUUAGGUUUGGGUGGCGGACGGGUGAGUAACGCGUAAAGAACUUGCCUCACAGCUAGGGAUAACAUUUGGAAACGAAUGCUAAUACCUAAUAUUAUGAUAAUAGGGCAUCCUAUAAUUAUGAAAGCUAUAAGCGCUGUGAGAGAGCUUUGCGUCCCAUUAGCUAGUUGGAGAGGUAACGGCUCACCAAGGCGAUGAUGGGUAGCCGGCCUGAGAGGGUGAUCGGCCACAAGGGGACUGAGACACGGCCCUUACUCCUACGGGAGGCAGCAGUGGGGAAUAUUGGACAAUGGACCAAGAGUCUGAUCCAGCAAUUCUGUGUGCACGAUGAAGUUUUUCGGAAUGUAAAGUGCUUUCAGUUGGGAAGAAAGAAAUGACGGUACCAACAGAAGAAGUGACGGCUAAAUACGUG